rnacentral:misc_RNA from 1 species
GAUGAAGAACGUAGCGAAAUGCGAUAAGUAAUGUGAAUUGCAGAAUUCAGUGAACCCUCGAAUCUUUGAACGCACAUUGCGCCCGGCAGUAAUCUGCCGGGCAUGCCUGUCCGAGCGUCAUUUCUCCCCUCGAGCGCAGCUUUCCCCCCCGGGGGAGGGCCGCGCCCGGUGUUGGGGCGCUACGGAGGAGCCCAGCGCUCCCCCGUAGGCCCCGAAAUGUAGUGGCGGUCCCGCCGCGGCGCCCCCUGCGUAGUAGUUUUACAACUCGCAUCGGGUCCCGGCGGAGGCCAGCCGUCAAACCCCCCAACUUCAAUAGUUUGACCUCGGAUCAGGUAGGGUUACCCGCUGAACUUAAGCAUAUCAAUAAGCGGAGGA